UUUUAAAACAACACGGGGGUGGAACAGGAAGUCAUGGGAAGUAUAUCCUGACUCAUUCCAUAUUCUUGCUCAAAAGAAAGUUAGUAUAUCACAACAUGUUUUCUAUGAUACCAAAUUGUAGCUCAAUAAAAAUUCACUGAGAACUCAAAAAUUAAUUAAAGAAUCAUCUCGAAAAAAUAUACAGAUCUUAAGAAUAAUUUAACUAACAAGUAUGUGAUUUUUUUAAGCAAUAAUUUUCUAUAGUUUCUGAGAUACGUCGCGACAUGUGGAAACCCCUUCAUUUUUCAUAAACUCAAUAACUCUAAAACAUAAAAUUUGAAUCAUCCUCAAAAAGUAUACAGAUCUUCAGAUUCAUAUAACUAAGAAGUGUGUAAAGCGUUUAGCAAUAAUCAUAAAUCGUUUUUGAGAUACAGCGCGGACUGUGAAAAAACACCCCUGUUUUGGUUACUCAAAAAGUUCACCAAAAAGAAUACAAAUCGUUUGACCAUUAUGAAAAAAAACCAACCAUGACAUUAGGAUAAUAUGCUGUACCAUGUUUACGACGGACAGACGGAAGCCGGACAUUUGUUUACCAUAAUACGUCCCGUCAAAAUUUUUGCAUGAAAUAUUUACCACUGGACGUAAAAAAGCAACCAACAAUUAAUCAAUUUAUAGGCAUAGUCUUGGUAUUAAGCGCCUUCCUCAUAUCAAAAAUGAUAAUUGACAUGCAUUAUAUUAGUAACACCAAAAGAUCUUGAAAUUGCUAACUAUACGAUAUUUUGUUGAAGA
rnacentral:lncRNA from 1 species